rnacentral:tRNA from 1 species
GGCGGAUGUGGCCAAGUGGAUCAAGGCAG